rnacentral:rRNA from 1 species
UACGUAGGGUGCGAGCGUUGUCCGGAAUUACUGGGCGUAAAGGGCUCGUAGGCGGCCAACUAAGUCAGACGUGAAAUCCCUCGGCUUAACCGGGGAACUGCGUCUGAUACUGGAUGGCUAGAGUGUGGGAGAGGGAUGCGGAAUUCCAGGUGUAGCGGUGAAAUGCGUAGAUAUCUGGAGGAACACCGGUGGCGAAGGCGGCAUCCUGGACCACGACUGACGCUGAGUGAGCGAAAGCCAGGGGAGCAAACGGG